UACAUGGGGUGCAAACGUUGCUCGGAAUUAUUGGGCGUAAAGCGCACGUAGGCGGUUCGUUAAGUCGGAUGUGAAAGCCCUCGGCUCAACUGAGGAAGUGCACCCGAAACUGGCGAGCUUGAGUACGAAAAGAGGAUCGCGGAAUUCCCGGUGUAGAGGUGAAAUUCGUAGAUAUUCGCAAGAACACCAGUGGCGAAGGCGGCUCACUGGCCCGAUACUGACGCUGAGGCACGAAAGCGUGGGGAGCAAACAGG
rnacentral:rRNA from 1 species